CUACACUAUUCUCUCAACUUCCAUACAUAUGAGUGUUUCUUACAAUAAAGUUUGUUUAAUAAAAUAUAAAAGUUUUCCCAAAAACUGUUAAUGGCCUAGGGAAACUACACUACAAGAAAGGUGGCAAAAAAAUCUCACAUCCAAUUCCCCGUAACAGCUAUUUCAGUCUGAACCUAAAAACCUAACCAUAAGGUAGCACUAGGUGGCACUCACUCCCAUAUUCCAGGUCUACAGAAAGUUGAAGAACAAAGCCCAGGAAUAGAUACCUUUUUCCAAGAACAAGACACAACAACCUGUAUCUACCUGAGUUAUUUUUAAGACUCUGAAACUGGGCUCAUAAAGCCUAGAAAGCAACUGUAUUAGCCCAUUUUCACAAUGCUAUAAAGGACUACCUGAGACUUGGUAAUUUAUAAAGAAAGGUUAAAUUGACUCACAGUUCCGCAUGGCUGGAGAGGCCUCAGGAAAUUUACAAUCGUGGCGGAAGGCAAAGGGGAAGCAAGUCACAUCUUACAUGGUGGCAAGAGAGAGGCGAGCGAGGGUGGAACUGCCAAACAACACUAUCACAAGAACAGUAUGGGGUGAACCGCCCCCUUGAUCCAAUCACCAGGUCCCUCCCACAACACGUGGGGAUAAUUCGAGAUGAGAUUUGGGUGGAGACACAGAGCCAAACAGUAUAAGCAACUAUGCUACCUGAAAUUGACACCCAACUCCAGAGUCAAUUUUCAUCAGGAGAUAGUAUGUUCACUCCCCUGGGGGAAAAAACCCUGCUCAUAGAAGGGUAAUGGGCCUCCAGCCAUAAAGAGACUGCUACCUAGAUCACCACACCAAGUCACAGGAAAUUGUCUUAUCCAAGCAGUGCUAGCUCUCUCACCUAAAAUUUAUCCUCCUCUCAACCCUCAAUUCUGAAAUUUCUAUUUUUAACUAACCCAUUGGAAAAUCAUUAUCUACUUGCUGCCUUUCCCUAUAGGAGAAAAGAUAAAAUAGGUAUGUAAUCUGGAGAAAUGAGGUCUAAAUUAUAUAUUAAACACAUAUGAAGAGGUUUUCAUAGUUAUACCCUGCCAGGUUAUAUGGUUAUACCCUGCCAGAUUAUAUGGUUAUACCCUGCCAGAUUAUAUGGUUAUACCCUGCCAGGUUAUAUAGUUAUACCCUGCCAGGUUAUAAGGCUCAAGCACUUCAAAAUUGCUAAAUGAGCACCUAUGGUGGAUCUUUCCCAUUCUUCCCUGCAGAGCCAUCUUCUAUCCUUCUCUACCCUGUUGCAUCACAGGAGGAGGACCUGCAUGGACUACAUCAAGGAGCUUUCUUGCGCUCUGGCUUCCAUUUGGGUUUCAGCCAAAUUGAGGGUGGGAGGGGGUGCAGCAGCAGGAGACUGAAAGGAGAUCAGAAUAUUUAUUGCCCUGGCUCCCCCUCCCUACCAGAUCUUGUGUCCUUUGACCAAAGGCUACAGUUCCCAUCAGAUAGCUCUCUCCACACCAACUUUCCUCUCUGAAUUCUGAUAACCAUUCCCCUCCCUUUGUCCCUUCAGGCAUAGAAAUGGUGAUGCCUGUUGGUAGCCCCAAAUUACUGUACUGUCCCUUUGUGGUUUCCCUGAACCCUACCCACACCUCUGUAUGUAGUUCGUUCGUUUGUUUGUUUAUUUAUUUAUUUAUUUAUUUAUUUAGAAACGGUCUUGCUCUGUCACCCAGGCUGGAGUGCAGUGGCGUGAUCACAGUGCACUGCAGCCUCUACCUCCCAGGCUCAAGUGAUCCUCCCACCUCAGCCUCUCUGGUAACUGGGACCACAGGUGCAUACCACCACCGCCCAGCUAAUUUUUUUUUGUAGACAUGAGAUCUCACUUUGUUGUCUGGG
rnacentral:lncRNA from 1 species